rnacentral:misc_RNA from 1 species
CCAUCUCCUGGCUUCCUCGU